rnacentral:tRNA from 1 species
GCCGCGGUAGCUCAGUUGGUAGAGCGUCGGACGCGUUAUUCGAAGGUCGCAGGUUCGGUCCCUGCCCGCGGCA